rnacentral:lncRNA from 1 species
CAGAUUUUUAGUUUUCUAGAUACACCUGAAUUGAUGAAGAAUUUUGGUAGUAUUACAUUUAUGAUCUUUCCAAAGCAUUCAACUUCGUUUUCAUAGAAAUGAUCUUCUUUUUACAUGCAUAUUUCCAUUAAUAUAUACAAUGAUUGAUUCAAAUAUGUUGUCAAUAGCACCAAAACCAUAUGCAUCGAAGUCAUAUUCCAUGAGCUCAUGUCUGAAACUUUUCAUUGACUAAAUAAAUACAUUUUUCUUAAAUGCUUACUAGUGCUGGGCACUGGGCGCUAUUUAUGUUUCUAUUACAAUAUGUGCUUCACAUUUUACAUGUGAUAUUUGCUAUCAAAAUUAAUUCAGGACUGGUGUUUUUCUCACAGCUGUCAGGACCUAGGGCAUGGAGAACCCCAAGACUCUCCCACUUUGUGGUUUAUGGACUUAACGAUCUGACAAAGCGUUGCAAUGGAGCAGAUAAAACAAUGUCAGAUAUGGACAUAUGCUCCAUUGAAGGGAGAAUAAAUUCAUCACUCGGAAACGUCUGGAACAGAAAUGCAUAGACAUUCCAGUGCUCACGAGGUGCUGUGUCCACACGUUUGCACUAACUCCGCACGAAUCAUCACCCACUUCUGAAUCGCUUCAUCUCCCAAGCAGACAGAGUGUGCUGCCUUCUCACACUAAUCAUACACAUUUUAAAUAUGUGAGGACGUGAUACAAUCCAGUGAUUGGCCUUUUCAGAGAAUAAGAAGAAAUUGAUCAUUCUCUUUUUUUGGAAACCUAUUCAACUGAAAAGAGUUUAGUUGAAAGGAAAGGAUUUAACUGACAUGGAUUUUUUUUUUUUUUUUAAAUAAAUGCUUGUUUCUUUAUCUUUGUGUUUAGGUG